GACGAACGCUGGCGGCGUGCUUAACACAUGCAAGUCGAACGGAAAGGCCCUGCUUUUGUGGGGUGCUCGAGUGGCGAACGGGUGAGUAACACGUGAGUAACCUGCCCUUGACUUUGGGAUAACUUCAGGAAACUGGGGCUAAUACCGGAUAGGAGCUCCUGCUGCAUGGUGGGGGUUGGAAAGUUUCGGCGGUUGGGGAUGGACUCGCGGCUUAUCAGCUUGUUGGUGGGGUAGUGGCUUACCAAGGCUUUGACGGGUAGCCGGCCUGAGAGGGUGACCGGCCACAUUGGGACUGAGAUACGGCCCAGACUCCUACGGGAGGCAGCAGUGGGGAAUAUUGCACAAUGGGCGGAAGCCUGAUGCAGCAACGCCGCGUGCGGGAUGACGGCCUUCGGGUUGUAAACCGCUUUCGCCUGUGACGAAGCGUGAGUGACGGUAAUGGGUAAAGAAGCACCGGCUAACUACGUGCCAGCAGCCGCGGUGAUACGUAGGGUGCGAGCGUUGUCCGGAUUUAUUGGGCGUAAAGGGCUCGUAGGUGGUUGAUCGCGUCGGAAGUGUAAUCUUGGGGCUUAACCCUGAGCGUGCUUUCGAUACGGGUUGACUUGAGGAAGGUAGGGGAGAAUGGAAUUCCUGGUGGAGCGGUGGAAUGCGCAGAUAUCAGGAGGAACACCAGUGGCGAAGGCGGUUCCCUGGGCCUUUCCUGACGCUGAGGAGCGAAAGCGUGGGGAGCGAACAGGCUUAGAUACCCUGGUAGUCCACGCUGUAAACGGUGGGUACUAGGUGUGGGGUCCAUUCCACGGGUUCCGUGCCGUAGCUAACGCUUUAAGUACCCCGCCUGGGGAGUACGGCCGCAAGGCUAAAACUCAAAGGAAUUGACGGGGCCCCGCACAAGCGGCGGAGCAUGCGGAUUAAUUCGAUGCAACGCGUAGAACCUUACCUGGGUUUGACAUGGAUCGGGAGUGCUCAGAGAUGGGUGUGCCUCUUUUGGGGUCGGUUCACAGGUGGUGCAUGGCUGUCGUCAGCUCGUGUCGUGAGAUGUUGGGUUAAGUCCCGCAACGAGCGCAACCCUUGUUCACUGUUGCCAGCACGUUAUGGUGGGGACUCAGUGGAGACCGCCGGGGUCAACUCGGAGGAAGGUGGGGAUGACGUCAAGUCAUCAUGCCCCUUAUGUCCAGGGCUUCACGCAUGCUACAAUGGCUGGUACAGAGAGUGGCGAGCCUGUGAGGGUGAGCGAAUCUCGGAAAGCCGGUCUCAGCUCGGAUUGGGGUCUGCAACUCGACCUCAUGAAGUCGGAGUCGCUAGUAAUCGCAGAUCAGCAACGCUGCGGUGAAUACGUUCCCGGG
rnacentral:rRNA from 1 species